rnacentral:rRNA from 1 species
AACGAAACCUUUCGGGGUUUAGUGGCGGACGGGUGAGUAACGCGUGAGAAUCUGGCUUCAGGUCUGGGACAACCACUGGAAACGGUGGCUAAUACCGGAUGUGCCGAGAGGUGAAAGGUUAACUGCCUGAAGAUGAGCUCGCGUCUGAUUAGCUAGUUGGUAGUGUAAUGGACUACCAAGGCGACGAUCAGUAGCUGGUCUGAGAGGACGAUCAGCCACACUGGGACUGAGACACGGCCCAGACUCCUACGGGAGGCAGCAGUGGGGAAUUUUCCGCAAUGGGCGAAAGCCUGACGGAGCAAUACCGCGUGAGGGAGGAAGGCUCUUGGGUCGUAAACCUCUUUUCUCAGGGAAGAACACAAUGACGGUACCUGAGGAAUAAGCAUCGGCUAACUCCGUGCCAGCAGCCGCGGUAAUACGGAGGAUGCAAGCGUUAUCCGGAAUGAUUGGGCGUAAAGCGUCCGCAGGUGGCGAUGUAAGUCUGCUGUUAAAGCGUCUAGCUCAACUAGAUAAGAGCAGUGGAAACUACUUAGCUAGAGUGCGUUCGGGGCAGAGGGAAUUCCUGGUGUAGCGGUGAAAUGCGUAGAGAUCAGGAAGAACACCAGUGGCGAAGGCGCUCUGCUAGGCCGCAACUGACACUGAGGGACGAAAGCUAGGGGAGCGAAUGGGAUUAGAUACCCCAGUAGUCCUAGCCGUAAACGA